GACGUAGGGCGCGAGCGUUGUCCGGAUUUAUUGGGCGUAAAGAGCUCGUAGGCGGCUUGUCGCGUCGACUGUGAAAUCCCGAGGCUCAACUUCGGGCUUGCAGUCGAUACGGGCAGGCUAGAGUUCGGUAGGGGAGACUGGAAUUCCUGGUGUAGCGGUGAAAUGCGCAGAUAUCAGGAGGAACACCGGUGGCGAAGGCGGUUCUCUGGGCAUUACCUGACGCUGAGGAGCGAAAGUGUGGGGAGCGAACAGG
rnacentral:rRNA from 1 species